rnacentral:antisense_RNA from 1 species
CAGCUCCAGAAGAAUGAGCCUGCACAGCUUGGACUGUCGCCUCUGGCGGGUUCCUGCUCUUUGAUGAAGCCUCGUCAUAACCACAGGUGUUUGAAAGUUCCUCCUUUGCUCUUCUCUUUCCUGCUGCCUUGUCAAGAAGGUGCCUGCUUCCCCUUUGCCUUCCACCAUGAUUCUAAGUUUCCUGAGGCCUCCCCAGCCAUGUGGAACUAGCCCUAUCUUCAACAGCUGCCAAAAUUGAAGAACAAACAGAAUCUUUGAAACUUCCCUUCAACUGGUCAUCCUCUUCCCUUUUUUUCUCCUUUAAACACUGUUCCAAUUCGUUAUGAUGGCCCCAAAGCCAAGACAGACAUGGAAGUGAACACUGGAGUGGAAGGAAUGACGGGGAGCAAAGGUCUGCUUUCUUUCUAUCAUUCUUGUAUCAACUCUAAAUUGAAACCCAAAUCACUGAAAUCUAAAAAAUCAUAUAAAAGCAAGUCAAUGACUAAAAGAAAAUGAAAUGAGAUCCUAUCAGAGAAAUAUGAAAGGGAAAAUACCACUGAUUAGAUAAGUUAUGGGAAAAAUAAAUCAUUACACCAUUAAAUGUAUACGUCGACAUACUGUAUGUUGUUGUGUGCUUAUUGUCUUUCACCAGUAGAAUGUAAGUCCCAUAAAGGUAAGGACUCUAUAUAUUCUGUUUGCAGCAGCAUCUCUAGUGCAUAGAACAGUUCCUAGCACAAAAUAAACAGUUGUUGAAUAAAUGAA